GAUGAACGCUGGCGGCGUGCCUAAUACAUGCAAGUCGAACGGAAGAUUUUGAUUUCGGUUGAAGUCUUCAGUGGCGAACGGGUGAGUAACGCGUUGGUGACCUACCCCGAAGAGCGGGAUAACAGUUCGAAAGGACUGCUAAUACCGCAUAUGUUCCUAGAGGUUAGAGGCUUUAGGAGUAAAGGGAGCAAUUCGCUUCGGGAGGGGCCUGCGUCCCAUCAGCUAGUUGGUAGGGUAAUGGCCUACCAAGGCGAAGACGGGUAGGGGACCUGAGAGGGUGACCCCCCACACUGGCACUGAAACACGGGCCAGACACCUACGGGUGGCAGCAGUAGGGAAUAUUGCACAAUGGGCGAAAGCCUGAUGCAGCAACGCCGCGUGCGCGAAGAAGGCCUUCGGGUUGUAAAGCGCUUUUCUGGAGGAUGAGGAAGGACAGUACUCCAGGAAUAAGGAUCGGCUAACUACGUGCCAGCAGCCGCGGUAAAACGUAGGAUCCGAGC
rnacentral:rRNA from 1 species